UACGUAGGGAGCAAGCGUUGUUCGGAUUUACUGGGCGUAAAGGGCGCGUAGGCGGCGCGGUAAGUCACUUGUGAAAUCUCUGAGCUUAACUCAGAACGGCCAAGUGAUACUGCAGUGCUAGAGUGCAGAAGGGGCAAUCGGAAUUCUUGGUGUAGCGGUGAAAUGCGUAGAUAUCGUCAAGAACACCGAUAGCGAAGGCAGCUUACUGGGCUGUAACUGACGCUGAUGCACGAAAGUGUGGGGAUCAAACAGG
rnacentral:rRNA from 1 species